rnacentral:lncRNA from 10 species
CCUUCCUUCCUUCCCUUCCUCCCUCCCUCCUUCCCUUCUUUCUCUCUCUCUCUCUCUUUCUUUCUUGAGACGGAGUCUUGCUCUGUCGCCCAGGCUGGAGUGCAGUGACGUGUUCUUGGCUCACUGCAAGCUCCGCCUCCCGUGUUCACGGCAUUCUCCUGCUUCAGCCUCUGGAGUAGCCGUGACUACAGGCACCCGCCACCGCGCCCGGCCUUAACUAGGAUUUUCUAGACUAUGUUCCAGGAGAAGUAGAAUUACUGCAUCACAGGGCACUUCAUUUUUAGAUUACGUAUCAUGGCGGCAGACCUUCAAUACCAAGGUGAGAUGGAAUAUGUAGUCCAUUCAAGUAAUGGGAACUUCAGAUGAGAGUCAUGUAACUGGGGUCCGCAGUCCUCUCAGAAUUUCUGUUGUACCAUUCAGGACAGCAUCUCCCCUCCCUGACCAGUUGAUAAAUCAUCUUGCAAAAGGCUCAUCUCAAAUGAAGAUGUAAUUCCUGGAAUUUUUUAAAAUAUGUCGUUUUUAUAAGAUUUUUAAUAGGAAAAAAUAUAUGGUUAUUGUCAAAAAUACAAAUUUAUAAAGGUUUUUAAUUGCAUGAGACCUUUCCUGUUUGCUCUCAGGCAGCAUCAGCAUUAAGCAGUUCUACUGCGUCAGACCUUAAUUCUGUGCCUUAAAAGCAGCAACUGUUUUGUUUUGUUUCCUCCUCUCCACUUAGGCUGCAGGGCCCAAUUCAGAUGAAUUAACUACAUUGGCUUUAUAAAAUGCUUACUGAACUGAAAAUGAUGAAAGAAAAAACAAAUUAGAACUUUCUGUGGAAUAAUAGAAACUCCAAGUAACAACUAGAGUUGAGGUUUUCCAUAAAGCAUAAAAUGUAUAAACUUUUUUUUUGUUGAUGUUGUUGUUGUUUUCUUUGAGAAGGAGUCUAGCUCUGUCACCCAGGCUGGAGUGCAGUGGCACAAUCCCGGCUCACUGAAACCACUGCCUCCCAGGUUCAAGCGUUUCUCCUGCUUCAGCUUCCCGAGUAGCUGGGAGUACAGAUGUGUGCCACAACGUCUGGCAAAUUUGUGUAAUUUUUGUUGAGACGGGGUUUCACCAUGUUGGCCAGGCUGGUCUCCAACUCCUGACCUCCAGUGAUCUGCCUGCCUCGGCCUCCCAAAUUAUAAACAUUUUUAAACAUUUUAAAUUGACCUUGCCAUUUAGAAAUGGAGAAAUUCAUCAGGGUCCUGAGUAAUUCUAAUCUACAUUUACCUGCUCGCAUUGUUUACUAGGUGCAUCUUCUCCAGCAAGUUCUUCAGCAUCCUUUCCAGAAGCAUUCGGCAGCCGAGAAAGCAGGCUACACCUUACCUACUCCUUCCUGGGCUAAAGAUCUCAGACUUAGUUGCUUAUCUUAAUUUGGGGAAAAUAAAUUAAGGAGUUCUUCUAUCAUUAAGCACAACAUAAUAUAAUCUAUUUAAUAAAUUCUGAUCAUCCACAUUUUGAUGGCAAUCCCACAUUUGAAAAUAAUGAUUAUAUAUGCAAAUAUUUUUAGCCAGUUAAAUUGGAACUUAUUCUUUGAAACAUCAUGAUCAUUUUUGUUCUAAUCAGUAACUAUAAUGGAACAAUAAGGUGUUUUUGAUAAACCACAUGAGUUAUUUUCAUUGAUUAUCUUAUGACAGUUGUUAUCAAAAUGGAUUAUUACAUAUUUAUCUAGUAUUUGCUGUAAACUCAGCAGUUUGGAAUACAUCAGUAAGUAUUUAGUUUUAUUAUGCUACUAGAGUUUUUUUCCGUAUUAUAGAAUUUUCAAACAUUUACUAAGGUAGAUAAAAUUUUAAUAGUUUAAUGAACCUGGUUUACCAUUUAAUCAGCUUAUUAGUAAUCAAUACAUGGCCAAUUUCACUUCAUUUACACCUCCACACACUUCCCUCAUAUUCCUUGUUAUUGCCUUAAUUGAGAUAUAAUUUACAUGUCCUCAAUUAUGUUUUGGAAAAUGGAGACAUUGUUUCCUCUACAAAUAUUUCUGUAUGCCUCUCUAAAUAUUAAUGACUUAAAACACAAACAGACCCUGACACCAUAUGACCUUAGGACAAAUUAGCAAUAACUUCCUAAUGUAUAAAAUUAAAUAUCCAGUCAGUUUUCAAGGUUUCCCUAUUGUCUUGUAAAUUAUUAUCAUCUUCUUUAUUUUAUAGUUAUUUUAAUUGGGAUCCAAAUAAGGACUAUACAUUAAAAUUAGAUGAAAAUAUGUCUUGUUUCCUUUGAUAUCUUUGAGUAUAUCACCUACGUGUGUCACCUACAUCUUUUUUCACUUGCACUCUUUUGGUUUAUUUUGUUUUGAUUGAAGAAACCAGAUUAUUUAUCCUGUAGUAUUUUGACACUCUGCAUUUUUCGGAUUGCAUUUCGUGGUAUUUAUUAAACCUGUGAUAUAAUUUGAAUGUAUGCUCCAAAUCUCAUUGAUAUGGUUUGGCUCUAUGUCCCCACCCAAAUCUCAUCUUGAAUUUCGACCCCCAUGUGUGGAUGGAGGGACUUGGUGGGAGGUGAUUGGAUCAUGGGGGCCAUUCCCCCAUGCUGUUCUUGUGAUAGAGAGUUCUCAAAAGAUCUGGUUGUUUGAUAAGGGUCUGGCAUUUCCCCUUUGCUCUGUCUCUCCUCCUGCCAUGUAAGAUGUGCCUUGCUUCUCCUUCACCCUCUGUUAUGAUUCUAAGUUUCCUGAGGCCUCUCCAGCCAUGCAUAACUGUGAGUCAAUUAAACCUUCCUUUCUAAAUUACCUAGUCUCAGGUAGUUUCUUUACAGCAAUGUGAAAUUGGACUAACGUACUCAUGUUGAGAUGUAAUCCCCAAUGUUGGAGGUGGGGCCUGGUGGGAGGUGUUUGGGUCAUGGGGACAGAUUCAUCAUAACUUGAUGCUGUCCUCCUGAUAGACUGGGUUCUUAGGAGAUCUGUUGUUUGAAAGUGUGUGGCACCUCCCCUCACUUGCUCUCUUGCUCCCACCCUCUCCAUGUGAGAAGCCUGCUCCUGCUAUGCCUUCUGCCAUGUCUGGAAGCCUCCUGAGGCCUCCUCAAAAGCUGAGCAGAUGCCAGCACCACGUUCCCUGUAAAGCCUGCAGAACUCAGCCAAUUAAACCUCUUUUCUUUAUGAAUUACCCAGCCUCCCAUAUUUUUUUAUAGGAACAGAAAAACAGCCUAGCACAACACGUUUCUCUGCCCCCUGUAUUUCUGUAACUAUAGAGCUUCAGUCAGUUUCAGAAAGGAUUUAUUUGGCAAAAAUACUUGAAAUACAGAGCAAACAUCUGCCUUGGUGAAUUGCCACUAUUUCUUCUGUAACUACAUUUAUGUUCUAUUUGAAUUUCACUGUUAUCACUUUUUUUUCUGUUGCAGUUUUAGCCCUGUUGAUUAAUUUCCACUUUUGAUUAUUCCUUUUUGUAAAAUGUCACGUGGGCUUCUCGCUGGGAGACAAGGAGGCAAGACAAUAACAUGCUUUGCUCUCUGUAUGAACUCAGUAACAAAUAUGCAGUGAUUGGCAACAACAUACUUUGAAAGAAGUGAUGGGUCACUGAUCAUGAUUCAUCUGUUAUUUAGGCUGUGAUUUGUGGACUGAAGAACUAACAAGAAGUUUAUACUUUAUAUAAUUACAGGUAAAAUACCAUGAUAACUGAAAUUAGAACCAUGUUGGGGAACUCGUGUCAUUUAAUUCAAUCAUGCUUAUUGGAACUAGGUAGAGGGGCGAUGGCCUGUACCUCUUACCUUCCUGAUGUUUUCUUUUUUAUCUGCAAUAAACAUUUACAUCAUUCCUUGUAUAGACUGUGAAAUUGUCUAUCAAUUCUAGACAUGUAGUCUAGAAUCACUUUUUAUACUACAUUUUAUAAUUGAGCAUCACUGGUAUAUAGUAUAUAGGACAGUUUUUGGUUUCUAUAAUUAAAGGUUGACUUUAUUAAAGUAUUAAGUAGAUACACCAUCUGAGAAUUUAAAAGUCUGUCUUUUUCAUUCAAAUAGUUGUUCAUCCUAUUUUUUUUGUUGUUAUAUGUAUUGGCUAGAGACUUCAGGAUAAUGUCGAAUAAUAUUAAUGAUAAUAUUGACUUUAAUGGUGUAUUAGUCAUGUCUCUUAUUUUCUGAAUUCGAUGCUUUGACAUCCAGGGCUUUGUUGUCCAUGGAGGGACUGCCCCUCUCAGGAUAAGCUAAUUCCUGGACGUAAGCAACUUGCCUGCAUGUAUGUCUUCAUAUAUAAACCAACCAAUCCAGAGCUCAUACCCCGUUCUUUAUCCUUUCUUUAUCACCCUCUAUUCUUCUUUAUCUAUCUUUAUCCUUCUUUAUCACUCUCAUGUCCCAGGCCACUAUCCGCCUGCCCUAAUUGCCUCAGGGCCAGGUAGCAGACAACUAGGGACAGCCUCUCCUCCCCAAGAUACCACGAAAUUAUUCAAACUAGCCAAUCCUAAGACUGGUUGCCCUGCCUUGCUUGUUCCUUCCUGUGGAAAGUACAGUAAAGAGUCUUGCUCGUGCUUUCCCCCGUCCCCUCUACCUCCUGACUGACCUUGAUGUUUCCCUGUUUUGCCUCUUGUGGUGUGAGGUGCCUACAGCUCCUAGGGAACCCUGAGUAGCAAAAUAAAGUACUUCCCUCAUGACACUCAUUUCUGUGUUCAUGUGUCUUAUCAUACUGAUUAAAACAAAUCCUGGGUACCAUAAAAAUAAAUGACAUUUCUAUUCAUGCUUUGUUAUUAAAUAUGCCUUUUGCUGUAGGUUUCUAAUAACUUUUAUCAAUAUAGAAACAUCUUCCUCAAUUGCUAGUUUCUUAUGAAGUUUUAAAUUUUUUUUAACAAGGAGUGGUGUUGAAUUUUAUCAAGAGCCUUUUUGAUGUUUAUUGAAAUAGUUGUUUUUUCUCCUAUGAAUUUUUCUAAUAGAAACUAUACUGAUUGAACAAUAGGUUAAAAUUAAAGUUUCAUCAGACUCUCAAGAUAUAAUAGCUGUGAAAGUCUAAAUCACCAUAUGUAGGUUUUCAUAGCAAAUAUCUGAGAACCUGCUCCACAAGUAUUAAUUCUCCUCACCUGCUUUAACAAUAUGAAAGGAUGUGGAGUGGAGAACACUGCAGGGAGCUGUUGCCUUGCACUUUCCCCUACCUUACCUUUGAUAGUCUUAUGUAUGGGGAGGAAAAUAAUGCACAUCCUUAACCCUGGGUCUAGAGGAGGACUCUUCAGGAGGCCACCAGGAUAACUGACCAAAAAACUCCUGGAACUAAUAAGCAGUUAUAGCAAGGAUGCCGUAUACAGGAUUAGUAUAGAAAAAUCCAUUGCAGUUGCUCUCCUGCACACAAACAGUGAGCAAUUGGAAUUUGAAAUUAAAAACACAAUGCCAUUUAUGUAAACAUUCCCACCACCAGUGAAAUAAUUAGGUAUAAAUCUAACAAAAUAUAUAAAAGAUCUAUGAGGAAAACUACAAAAUUUUGAUUAAAGAAAUCAAAGAAGGACUAAAUAAAUAGAGAGAUAUUCCAUGUCCAUGGAUAGGGAGGCCUAGCAUUAACAAAAUGUCAGUUCUUCCCAACUUUCUCUCUAGAUUCAAUGCAAUCCCCAUCAAAAUCCCAGAAAUAUAUCACUUGGAUAUUGACAAAUUGAUUCCAAAGUUUCUAUGGAGAGGCUAAAACAAAAACAAAAACCAAAAAAAAACAAAAACAAAAACAAAAAAAACAAGAACAGAUAACGCAGUAUUAGAAAAGAAGAAAAUCAGGGGGGUAACACUACCCAAUUUCAAGAUUUGCAAGAAAGCUACAGCAAUGAAGACAGUGUGGUAGUGGCAAAAGAAUAGAUGAAUAGACCAAUGGAACAGAAUAGAAAAUCCCAAAAUAGACCUAUACAAAUAUUUGACAAAGGGGCAAAGGCAAUACAAUGAGGAAAAGAUAGUCUUUUCAACAAAUGGCACUGGAACAACUUAAUAUCCAUAAGCAAAAUCAAAAAUCUAGACACAGAUCUUACAUCUUCCCCCAAAUUUAGCUGAAAAUGGAUCAUAGACCUAAAUGUAACACACAAAAUUAUAAAAUUUCUAGAAUAUAGGAGAAAAGCUAGAUAACCUUG